ensembl:lincRNA
GGCCUCUGGGCUCGUGAUGGAAUCUGUCUUGGCUGAGAGAUGCACAUGAAACCAGGAAGGACCCUGAAUCACCACAAGGGACCAAGCAAGAUGAUUGCCAGAGACAGCCUGGAAACCAGAAAUCCUGAGACUUAGAGCUCUGUGGCACAUUCUCCCAUGGUCCUUUACCCUGCUGUUCUCCACCCAGGCAUCCCUUCCCCAUAAAAUCUUUUACUUUAUCAGCAAAAAAAAAAAAAGAAUUAAUGCCUUUGGGAAGGUCAGAUUUAGAUGAGGUCAUUAGGGUGGAGCCCCCCAAGAUGGGAUUAUUGCCCUUACAAGAAGAAACAUCAAUGCUUCCUUCUUCCUUUUCUUGCCUUGUGAGGAUGCAGCAAGGAGGCAAUCGUCUUUUCAUUUAUUUCUUUUACGAUGAGAGAAGUUUCCAGAAUGCUUCAAACUGAUAUAAAUUACCCAGAAGGUCUCAUGAGCACUCAGCAGGGAAGCUGGUUCCACGACCUCUGGGAGCAAUCAGAUACCAUAAUGGCACAGUGGAAUCAUCUGAGUAGCUGAAGAACUACCUACACCUGGGUGCAGAUAGCUGACCUAGUUUGUCUGGGGUGAGGCCGGGGCACCUGAUUAUUAUGAGCAGCUGAGAUUAGAGAGGGGCUUCCCAGGUGGCUCAGUGGUCAGGAACCCGCCUGGCCAUGCAGGAGACGUGGGUUCCAUCCCUGGGUUGGGACGAUCUCCUGGAAAAGGAAAUGGCUAUUCCCUCCAGUAUUCUUGCCUGGAGAAUCCCGUGGACAGAGGAGCCUGGUGGGCUGCAGCCCAUGGGGUCACAGAGUCUGACACAACUGAGCACGCAUGCAGGCACACACUCAGGCACAUGUGCACGAUAAGGUUCUUACCUUGCAAAGAUUACAAAUGCUUUCCAGCACUGGGUCACUGAACAGGGAUUUUCUAUUGAAGAGCCCCAUCCACCCCACCGCACCAACCUCGCUUUACUGGUAGAAGAGGACUUUAAUUUAGAAAUGAAGAGAGAGAUCAGCUGGGCUUUAAAAGGAAGGAGGGGGGGACAUCCUAGAAGCUCAUAAAAGCCACUCUGAAGACUUUUCGCAGAGACCUCGUAAGGAACACGUAGUUGUGGCUGAUGCCUGCCUGUGGCCAAGAGCAUGGAGCACGGAAGAAACAAGUUAGUUGUCUGAUGUUGGGCAGCUUGUAAGGGUCUCCGGAGGUCAGUGUGCUGGUCUACAAACGGGGUCUUAGGGAACCUGGAUCUACUGUGGAAAACGGGUGAUGCGGCAAGCUGGAGGCUAUGCACUCCUAAGCGGGGGCGGCUCAUGGCGUGAAGCAAGAGGGAAGCUCGCUGCUGGAAGCUGUCGCACUUUUCAAGGUAAGCCAGAAACCCAGACUUUUAUGUGAAACCACCCGAACUUAUAUUUUGGCAACACACUUAACUGUUUUAAGUCCACUUCUGGGGAUGGUAUCAGUUGCUGGGCCUCAGGCUGUGAAGGGCAGCCAUGUGAAAUUUCUCGCCCAUGUAUUUCCAAUGUCUCUUCCUGGUCUAUAAUUUCUAG